CCCGCUGAACUUAAGCAUAUCAAUAAGCGGAGGAAAAGAAACUAACAAGGAUUCCCCUAGUAACUGCGAGUGAAGCGGGAAAAGCUCAAAUUUUAAAUCUGGUGGCCCCGCCGCCCGAGUUGUAUUCUGGAGAAGCGUCUUCCGCGCUGGACCGUGUACAAGUCUCCUGGAAGGGAGCGUCAUAGAGGGUGAGAAUCCCGUCUUUGACACGGACUACCAGUGCUAUGUGAUGCGCUCUCGACGAGUCGAGUUGUUUGGGAAUGCAGCUCAAAAUGGGUGGUAAAUUCCAUCUAAAGCUAAAUACAGGCGAGAGACCGAUAGCGAACAAGUACCGUGAGGGAAAGAUGAAAAGAACUUUGGAAAGAGAGUUAAACAGUAUGUGAAAUUGCUGAAAGGGAAACGCUUGAUGUCAGUCACGUUGGCUAGGGAUCAACCUUGCUUCUCGCUGGGUGUAUUUCCUAGUGGACGGGUCAGCAUCAGUUUCGGUCGCUGUACAAGGGCAAAGGGAACGUGGCACUCCUUGGAGUGUGUUAUAGCCUUUCGUCGUAUGCAGUGGUUGGGACUGAGGAACUCGGCACGAAAUCUAUUUUGUGCUUAGGAUGCUGGCAUAAUGGCCUUAAGCGACCCGUCUUGAAACACGG
rnacentral:rRNA from 1 species